GCCAACCACCUCCCCCCGACGGACCUCGAUCCGCCGCCAAUGGCGCUCCCAGACCCGCGACGGCCACGGCCUCGGCGGGCGAAUCUGCUCGACUUCGGCGCCGGGAGAGGAGAGGAGCCGCCCCUCCCCUCCCCUCUGCGUGGUUCCGCUCGAUGGCCGAGCGGUUCCGCGUGAGGCGAGGGCUCGACUGCUCCGACGCCUCAAGGUGCACGAAGGCCCUAGGUGCUGGCGUGGUGCAGGGGAUCUCACGAAUUCCACCACACACACCUCGCCGCCGUUCAUGCUCCGUCCGGCUUCAGCAGGGCCAGCAAGACGCGACUUCCGCUUCUUCCUGUCCCACGACGCCUCCUCCAAGCCGCUCAAGCAGCAGCAGCCAUGAGGUGCCUGUAACAGGCUCAUAAUAGGAACGAGUGAGGCGAGACGCAGCGGCUCGAGAUGCUCGGUAACCUCUACGGUGGAUUGCCUUGUGUGCUGUGGACAAGGUUAAGGACGAGUGAAUCUGGAGUUCAUGUAUCAUUAUCAAACACAAGCUUGUGGAAGGGGUGGGUGUGGCUGGGAGAAAAUGUUAAACAGGAAGGGAAGAAGCUGGAUCACCACAAACGCCAUGGAGGAGAAGCCCACAAAUUGGAUCUCACGAGUUCCACCACCACUCCUCGCCGCCGUCCAUGCUCCGACGUCAGCAGGGCCAGCAAGACGGCGACUUCCACUGGCUGUAAGCCAUCAAAGCUUUGCAUGCGUGAGGCCGGGUUGAUGUUGACUUAAUCAAUCUCCCUGCUGGCGAGGACUUCCUACAGUUAAACACACAUGUCUGGUUAUCAAAGACUCAUGUAGGAUGGUCCCGAGCUCCAAACCAUGGAGGCAGUGGCCUCUUCUCUGUCUCUGUUGUUGAAACCUGAAACAUUGUGUAUGAAGUCUAAUCUUAUGCAUGCUCAUUUAUCCUUCUUGUUAAUGGAAUUGGGGCUGGCAGAAA